rnacentral:misc_RNA from 1 species
GGAAGUUAAAAGUCGUAACAAGGUUUCCGUAGGUGAACCUGCGGAAGGAUCAUUAUUGUAUAACCGAGGUGCGAGGGCUGUCGCUGACCCGAAAGGUCGUGCACGCCCGAGUGCCCUCACACACAUCCAUCUCACCCCUAUGUGCACCACCGCGUGGGUCCCCCUUUGGCUUGUUCGGAGGGGGGCUUACGUUUUCACACAAACUUUGUAUGCAGUGUAGAAUGUAUUUUUUGUUUUUGCGAUCACGCAAUCAAUACAACUUUCAACAACGGAUCUCUUGGCUCUC